CUUUUGGGACAGGGGACGGCGUCUGGCAUCCGGCCUAGUGAUUUUUUGUUUUUUCUUUUCUCCCCAGCCACCAGGCAAAAUUGUGCAGGGGACUCACGAGUCAAAGGAUGCAGGAUCUGUUAGGAGCACAGGCUUGGGCGCAGCAAUCACUCUGUUUUCCCUCCUGGUCCUCUUCCCAGCAGCAUGGCCGGACAAAACUGGAGACGAGCAAGUGAGCUGCUUUGUUUUUACUAAUAUUUAAUGCUAUUGUGCAUGGGGAUACACAGUUAGUCACGUUGUUCCUGAGUAUCCCUGGACUGUUUGUUUUUCAGUGUUCAAGUAAGGGGUCAGUCUUUGGAGGACCAUACCACAUGUGUCUGUGCCCGAGCAGUCACAAAAUUUGCCAAACUUUGCACAAAUUUCUGGCAGGCUUGGCACAAAAGCACAAGCAAAAUGAGUCACAUCUCAGGUGAGUCCCACGCCCCUCUUCUGCAGGGCUCCAGGUUUGCUCCCAGGUGGUGGCAGAGGGUCAAGCCUGCCAAUGCGGUCAGCUAAAACAAGAGGACACAUAAGUCUCUUGACAGUGAACUGCCUCGGUGUUUCCGAAACCAAACUGUGGGUGGUGGCAGGGGAGGAGCUGGAUUCAGAUAUGUGGCUUUUCUUGAUCUGUUCUGCUUUCUGAGUCACUCAGCCGGUGUCUGUCGGGUGGGCUGGCUGGUGUUGCUGGCUCCCCAGUGCUGCCAGGAGCCCUUGGCCUGCUGUGGGUCUCCUCUGGACCACCUGCCUCUAUGUCACAAUCCAGCUUCUCCUUCUCUUUCUCUCUGGGGAUGUAGCCUAAAUGCCUCCAUCAUACUGCACCCCUACUGUGCAGCAUUACACCUGACUGUUAUCCCAGCUGAAGGAUUGCCACAACCCACCCUGUAGCCUGGGGUGUACAGAAUGCCUCAGGGCUCUCACUUUCUGGCAGCACUGCUGGGAUAGGGCUAAGGUCCAAAACUGCUUUGCAGCUUGCAGGGAGCCAGCUGUCCUGUUCACAAGGGGCUGGGGAGAUCCUCGAGCUUUACCCCAAAAACUAAAUGCUCCGCUGAGCCUCAUCUGCAAGAAGUUGCUUUGACUAAUAACAGGAUCUCCUGGCAUUCACAUAGGGUUAGAAAGACCAGAGUUGCUUAUGAAACAGCCCACUCUUCUUCUCGAGUCACUUGGUAAAUACUGAUUGUAACACAGUGGUUGCAUAAGGUCAGAGCUCCUUUCAGUGCGAUGGAGUGUGCUGGAAAACGGCAUCGUUCACCACCAGGAAGAGACCAGGACGAGAUCACCCCUCGCACCCAGGCACCGCAGGCUGAGCUUCCCUCCUCUGCAGCGUACUGCAGCCACCGGCCUGUCGCAGCAGCUGGCUGGGCUCUCCUGCCACGGACUCGGUUCAGAGGUGUCCGUACAGGGAGAGGUCAGGCAUCACACAUCUAGCCUGGGCUCCCAGCAGCAGCAGGGCCCAGUGGUUCAUAAAUCAUCGUCUGCAGCCUGCUCCAUUAACGUGCAUUAAGGCGUGUGCAUGGAUUUGCAUAGGAAACACGUGCCUCGUAACUCUCCCGUUUCAUCUUCGUGGCUGCUUCUAUUUCUGAUAAUCCCCAGGUUCCUGAGGCGUUUUCCCAUAGGGCACAGAUCUUCCACCUGCUGGCAACUCGGGGUGCCCUGGCACACGGAAUAGGAUACCUGAUGUUGUUUUUUUUCUUAUCCCCUCUCUACCCUUGCUCUGGAGGGAGGACAUUUGCUGCUUCUUGAGGCUGUGAGAUGGCUUUCAGGAAAAGGUCAACAUCCUGCAGGUCCUGGAGGGCUCUGCGGGUCUUCUCACAUUGCUCCCCUGGGGGCCAGAGGUUUUCAGAGGCCACAUGCCACGUGUGGCACCCUGCACAACACCUUUUGGUUGCUAAAAACAGGCAGUAUGUGACAGGACUGGAGUACACCAAGAGUUCCUAAAUAUCCUCGUUGGCCUCACCUGGACUCCUAGACCCAUUUAAGCCCAGGCCCUGGCUUGGAGCCUGGCCUUCAGGCUGUACAGGACCAUUCCCUUGUCCAGGAAAGAUGUUUUUCUUGCCUACAUUUCUUAAAACCUGGCAGAAAUAUGGAGAAUUGUGACUGUUUUGCUCAUCUGCUGAAAAGCACCACUGCUAGCUUUUUUUUCUGCCUAUUUUUUUUUGCAGGCUUUAGGAAAAGUGGCCUUUUCUAGCAGAAAGGAUGCAAGCUAACUAUGCAUCUCUCAGAAAAGCUGGGGUACUGUGGUGUUUGUUGAGAUCUGUGAACAGUCCCAUGCCUAACGUUGUCCUCCCUCGGCACCACAGGCUUGAGUUUGGUGGCAGAGGGUGACACACCCAGGCAGAAAUGGUGGUUCCAGAAACACAGUGAAACCAAAGCACCAAAACAAAAAGUGUCUGCAGCUACAGAGCCCUGGGGAAGUCACACUUCUUUCUGACCAUCUUGGUUUUAGGAAAGGCAAUGUGACAGCAGCCACCAGCUGAAGCUUGCAAGGGAUCUGCCAUUGCAGAUGGCUAUAACCAGCACUGCUGUGUGCAUGGAGACCAUGCAGGGAGCACCUGGUUGUCUUAGCAUGGCUGUGCCCGGAGAUCAAACAUACUCAGAGUAGCAGAAUGGAGCAGAGCCCAGAGCUGUGAGAAUGCGCAUUCACUGGAUUGUUGAGUGGACAAAAAAAAAUCAGUGUUCCUGAAAGACUGAGAUCAUCCCCUCUCCGUGUUUUUCUUGUGCAUCACUGAGUAUCUCUUUGGUUUUCUAUUAUUUCGAUCCUUUCAACCUUAACAGGACAAGAGAAUGAAAUAUGCACAUAUGUAUGGAUUUCCUACUUUUUUUUUUUUUAAACUAUAUUUUAAGUUUUGGACCACUUUUCUUCCAACUGUUCAUUUGCACUACCUGACAGUAAACCUUCAGUGAGAGAGACUUCUUCUAGAUCAGGGAACUAACACAUGGUGAAAAGGAGGAAGGAAAUCCCUUUCUCACAGCCCAAAGACUGACUGCCAGCAAAUUACCAGAAAAGCAACUCUGGCAACAUUCCCCUGGCUACUUGAUACAGGAACAUCUCAUCUGCUUGUAAGGCUUUGAGUCGACUUGCUAGGAUUGCUCCAGCUCCAUUUUGAUCCUGGGAGCCUCCCAUACAAACCUACUUCUGAAUUUCCCAUGAAGAACUGAUGGAGGAGCAGACUUCUUCCCUCCCUUUCACAGCUGGGUUCAUCUGUCCAGAUUGAGAUCUCCAGUACCAUGCUAUUUCUGUGCUGGCAGGAGCUGAGAGCACAUAAUAGUGCAGACCAGUGGUGUGACGUGUUUUCAGCACUUGCAUUAUCAUGCAGCAUCUUCUUGUCUGAGGAGGACAGAUAGAAUAGCCCUUGGAGCGCAUGGCACAUACCCACCUCUCUAAGACCUCUUUGUGCUUAUCAGGAACUCUCUUUCCACUUGAGAUCCCCACACAGCUGUUACGCUGCUGUCUUCUGGUGUGAAAAGAGAAAUCCUCCAGCUGGAGAAGCAAAUCACCUGCUCACUUGCUUCUUUUCUGUAUCAUCUUCUGGAGGCCGAAGGCAUAGCAGGGAGGAGGACAACUAGCUCUGCAGGCUGCUUAUGAGUGCUGCCUGUUUUUGUGGCAUGAGGCCAGCUGGGUUGCCCUUUGGUGGUGUGGGACUGUAAAAUGGAUCGGAUGGUGUGUGGUCUCCAUGCUCGAGUGCUCAGGGUGCUGGCUCAGAGGAGUAAUGGAGCACUCUCUGAGACACGCGCUCUCCUCCCAUUGAUUCAGCAGGCUGUUCUCUUCUGUCUGUCUGAGCUUGCGGGCUUUUUGAGGCCAAGGCAGGAUGAAUGAAACUCUGGUAAUUACUACAACAUGAAUUCAGAAGGAUCCUAUUGGUAGGGUUCAUCAGCAACUCAUUAAUUAAACUGUUGCCAUGGUGCCAGUUGCCCUGGUAGCAUGAAAUCCUUUCUCCUCCCUUUCCCCUCCUCCUCUGCAGUUCACAGGAUUCUCAUUCAUAUUCUUGUGCUUAACAUGAAUGAAGCCAGAGAGCACGGGGCUAGGGGAAGAGGCACUUGUGGAGAGAAGAUGCCUUUUUCCCCACUGUGACUACCCCCUCAUGGGCCUGAAUAAUCACUCAGCUCUUCCCCUGUGUUUUUCUUUCCUUGGAAACACAAAUUCUGCCUCAUACACAUCCUGUCUUUUUUUUUUUUUUUGGUUGCUUACAGCUCAAAUCCCAAUUACCCUGAGCACCUGUGUUAUUCUGGGUUCUUGGAAUGAGUUCCUGUGAUUGACAGCGGUGCAAGUAAAGGGCUGGGCGCUUUAUCUGCAGCCUAAUUGCAAAGGCUUGGCAGUUUUCUAGAGGCUGUCCACCUUCAUAGGACACAGCAGUGACUCCCCCCAUGUCUUCUGCUUUGUGCCUGAAAGCUUCUGGCUGAGCUGUGAUUUCCUUGCCAGAAGAUGCCUCAUCUUAGUAUAAACGUUGAUAAUGAUGGAGAACGCUGCACUCUGUGGCAACCUGUCCAUCCAGGUGUCUAACCACUCCUUGUUGCCAAGAAUCAGCCCCCCCAACAUGCAUGAUGAAUGUAAAACCCUUGUGAAAGUGCCAUGAAAGCUGGAACCCCUGGCACAGGACAGCACCUUCUUCCCUGGUAGCUCAGAGCCAGCACGUGUGACUGCACUGGUGUUACUGUGGAGCUUCUUGAGCACAAAUACACAGACAAAUAGAGACAGACCAACUGCCCAUUGCAGUCUGUUGCCAAAAUAAUUUCAGCCCAUCUGAGGACAAAGCAAGAAGGACCCCACUUUUCUCAUUGCCUCUAAAUUACUGUGUGAGUAAGAAAUGCUUGUAUCUGCGGGGAAAAGCUGCCUGUCCUAGAGAUGAGAAACCUGGUGCAGCCUGGCCUAUCUCUUUGUGGGCUAUUACUUGGUUUCUCACUGUGGUUUUCCUUCCCCUCGAGUUUUCUGCACUAAUUUUGUAAUAACAGUUAGUGCUGGGUUUCAUAAACAGACAUACAACAUGCAAUUAGAGUUUGCUUUGUGUGAAAUAAAGUAGCUGUGAGUCAUAUCCAGACAAGUGAAUUAUCUGUGAUUAUUCAGCCAAGAAGGGAGACAGUGGUGUGCAGAGGAAUGUGCUAUGUAUCCUUAUUAACAUUUUGCUAUAUACCAUGGCAGGGCUGGCUCCUUGGGAUGUCUGCAUACAAACAGCAACACGACUGACUCCUCAGAGGCCAUGUUCCUCUGCUACUAAGACUUAUGCAUCAUGCUUGGUCUUUCUCUGUUCCUAAAAAGAAUAAAAGGGGGGUUACUUGGUAGACACAAGCGUCUUUAGGAGUCUGAAGUUAAAUGAAGCAAAUCAUGUAUGUGGGGAGGAACACGUAUGAAAGAAGUCCCUUGAGGGAAGAUAGCAAAAAAUAGGUUUUCAGCAGUGCCCUUGGUUGAUGUGCCUGAUGAAUCUAUUCCUUUUUGUCCUCUGGGAAUGAAAAGAUGUCCCAGGAAGGGGCCUUGGGGUGCAGAAGGAACUGGGAAGCCUUUUGGGGUGAGAAGUUGCAAGCUCAGUGAACCAAGGUGUUUUCUGCAGUGGCAUCACAGCACAUUUCUUAUUUAUUGCCAGGUAGGAGACUUACAGGCUGUGACUCUGCAGUGAGGAAAGCACAGACACGCGAGCCAUUUCCUGAUGGCAGCCAGGGAGAGAGAGUGACGAGGUGUGGGCAAUGUGGGCAGGGAGCAUGCAGGUUGCCCGCUUCACACAGUUGCAUACUUGUCACAGGAGGGGUGAUUCUGAAACCAGUGGUGCUUCUUCAAGGGCAGGGUCACUUUCAGGGAGGGAGUAGGUAAGAGUUGCUAAACAGCAUCUUCCCCGUCCCCAGCGCAUAGCUUCAACUGCCCAAGGAAGCUUGUUUGCCAUCCAUUGCAGGGAAUCUGUUGACCCUUCCUCAUCCAGUUGCAAACGCCUUCAUCUACAAAAUGACAAGGAGAAAUGCUUAAUCCUCCACGAUGAAUCUAACAGAUGCUUCUCCCAGGAAAUGAACUAAAGGUUGCAGCUUUGCUUGAGUGACUGUGAGUCAGGAGACCUCCUCCUUGUCCCAAGUCUGAGAGAGGAAAGUCUGGGACCAGCCAGACUGUAUAUUUUUUUGCAUGGGUCUGAAAUAGAAUCAGCAGACUUUAAAGCUGGUAUACCAAAAGAAAAUGAUAGCACAAAACCCAGCCAAGCUCCUUGGAAAUGUAAAUAGACCGGAAACACUGAUGUCCUCUUAACACAGCAUCAAUCACUGCUGGGUGCUGGAAGUGGCAGCACAUUCAUUAUGGUCUACGUAACCAUCACAAGCAGCAGAUGGAGCAGGUUUAAGACCUAACAGUGGAGUUUUGGAGCAAGAAGCCUGCUUCUGAGAACAACAAUGGUGUAUUAUGCAUACUUUGACUUCUUGGCUGAUGCGAGAUAAAAAAGAGGGGAAGGUGAAUCAUCUUCUCUGAAGCACUGAUGAAUACACACGAGGCUUUCAGAUCACAGCUCUGUGUGGUACAAUGAACAUUUUCUUCACGCCUGAGAGCAAGUUUUUUUAAAAUUUAUGGAGGAAACAGAGCAUUCAGAAAACAAAUCUACACUUCUCUGAGUGCCAGACCAUGUCUCUGAGCACUGUAAAGACAAUGGAUGGGAGUGAUCUUCCUCCCGACAUAAAAAGUGCAGAAGAAGGUGUGAAGCUCUUACCCUCGCCGUUGAAACAAGUCCCAGAAGAACUGAUGUCAUUUUAUUUGGAACAGCUGCUAUCUGCCUGUACUGUGUGGAGAGCCAUAUUUCGGCUGAGUCACCAAGGCCCGCCACACCCUGCUCUGUAGCACUUGCUCUCCAUAGCGAUUUAAUAACUCACAUUUACUGCAGAACUGUUAUUCAUAUCUCAUUAGAUUUUGUGGGAGCUUCAGCAGUAAGCAACGUACAUUGUCAUGGUUCACAAAGCUGUUGUGAUACUUGCCAACCAAGAGGAAAUUGCAUUUUCCCCUGCUGUAAAGCAGCUACGGAGAUGGAAGCUAUGAAAUUAGUCAGCCUUAACAUGCAUUAAUCAAGGAAGGGAAGUUGAAGAUGCCCGUGGAGAAAGAUGGGCUGAGAGGCUCGGCCUAGAGGCUGGGCCUAGAUACUGGGCCUGUCUUGGGUAUGAGCAGUAGGCAAGAUUCUAAGUGGCCAGUCUGGAGAGACCAUGCUGUCAUGAGAGCAGGUGAAACCAGGAGAAUGAUGAGGACAGCACCAUUAGGAGCAGCAGGAGAGGGAAAUCUGGAAAUAGCAGGUCUAACAGAGGCUCUCCUUAGCCACCUGGGAUUUCAGACUUUGUUUUGUGCUCUGUGGGACGGGUAGAAUAUGAGCACUGGAAGGGACACAUUUGGCUCUGCAUGUUUACUACUCUAACGUUGUCCCUGUAAAUGUGGCAGGUGACUGGUCUGCAUGGCUUGUGUUCCCUGUAAGUGUGGGUCUGCAGGUGCCAGACUGCAGGCAAACCUCCUUUGCACAGGAAGAUGCUAUAUCCUCCUUCCGUGCAAGUAAUGUUUUGCUUUCUUAUGGGGUAGCUCUGACACCAAGACACAGAGACUUUCUACAUAUGUCAUUGUGCAGGAAGAAAGAAGAACCAGGAGAGAAAAGCUGAUGUAUGCUUCCUCUGGGAAAAGUCCAGAGGUUUACUAUUGCUGUGUUGGAAGAGGAGGCACACAAAGGAAUCACAAGCCAGCACAUGGACUGCCAGGAGCACUGGACUCCAAGCAUGGCAAGAAAGAAGUUAUUUCCUGUAACUUUCCUGUAAAACAAACAAACAAAACAACAAAAACACACCACCACCACCAAAAAUGAAACAAAACAAAACACCACAACAAUAAAAAAAUAGCUUCAUCCUUUUCAGCUUUUUUUUGUUCAAUUUGUUAUUCAGCCCCACCCCCUAAUCCUCACUCCAGUUUAUAGGUAGAGUUGUGAUAUUUCUUCUCCUGUGUAUUAAGAUCCCUGCGUGGAAGAUGAUUGUCUCUGGUGCUGAAUACAGCUUUUGGGGGUUGAUACAAGACUGAUUCCAUUCACGAAACUUGAAGUGACUUUGCUCUAGCAAUAUGAAAUGGGAGUACAGCUCACCUUGCAGAUGGUUGCCUAAAAUAUUAAACAGUGAUUCACCAUUACUCACUGUCUCAUCAGCUCAUAAAUUUAAAAUAACUCCCCUUUCCUUUCUUUUUAUUUAAGGAAAAAUAAAAGAAGUAAAGGUG